AACAUUCUUGAUUCAAAUUUAAUAUAAACAAAAUAUCUCACUAAAAGGAUUAUUGCACAACUGUUUCUGAAGAGGUAUAUCAUCUUCCAUCCAUCCACAAGAGGUAUUCCAUCCACAAGAGGUAUACCAUCCACAAGAGGUAUACCAUCCACAAGAGGUAUACCAUCUACAAGAAGU